rnacentral:rRNA from 1 species
CAGUCGCCACGGUAAUACAGAGGGUGCAAGCGUUAAUCGGAAUUACUGGGCGUAAAGCGCGCGUAGGUGGUUUGUUAAGUUGGAUGUGAAAUCCCCGGGCUCAACCUGGGAACUGCAUCCAAAACUGGCAAGCUAGAGUAUGGUAGAGGGUGGUGGAAUUUCCUGUGUAGCGGUGAAAUGCGUAGAUAUAGGAAGGAACACCAGUGGCGAAGGCGACCACCUGGACUGAUACUGACACUGAGGUGCGAAAGCGUGGGGAGCAAACAGGAUUAGAUACCCCCGUAGUCCCUGUCUCUUAUAU